CCUUCUCUGAGCCCCCGUCGAGCUUCUCUACUCUCUUCUCCACAUACACACUCUCUCUAUCCCAACGAAUAAGGAGAGUAUUUAUCAUUUGUGAGAUUUCCCUGUCAGGGGAAUCCCCGUGGGAUCAUCCCCACAUCUUCUCAAAUCUCC
ensembl:ncRNA T22B11.6 ncRNA